AGAGUUGAUCUGGCUCAGGACGAACGCUGGCGGCGUGCUUAACACAUGCAAGUCGAGCGGUAAGGCCUCUUCGGGGUACACGAGCGGCGAACGGGUGAGUAACACGUGGGUGACCUGCCCUCAGCUCUGGGAUAAGCCUGGGAAACUGGGUCUAAUACCGGAUAUGACUUCUCCUCGCAUGGGGGGUUGUGGAAAGUUUUUUCGGCUGAGGAUGGGCCCGCGGCCUAUCAGCUUGUUGGUGGGGUGAUGGCCUACCAAGGCGACGACGGGUAGCCGGCCUGAGAGGGCGACCGGCCACACUGGGACUGAGACACGGCCCAGACUCCUACGGGAGGCAGCAGUGGGGAAUAUUGCGCAAUGGGCGGAAGCCUGACGCAGCGACGCCGCGUGGGGGAUGACGGCCUUCGGGUUGUAAACCUCUUUCGACCUUGACGAAGGCCUUUGGGUUGACGGUAGGGGUAGAAGAAGCACCGGCCAACUACGUGCCAGCAGCCGCGGUAAUACGUAGGGUGCGAGCGUUGUCCGGAAUUAUUGGGCGUAAAGAGCUCGUAGGCGGUGUGUCGCGUCGGUCGUGAAAACUUGGGGCUUAACCCUGAGCUUGCGGUCGAUACGGGCAUCACUGGAGUUCGGCAGGGGAGACUGGAAUUCCUGGUGUAGCGGUGAAAUGCGCAGAUAUCAGGAGGAACACCGGUGGCGAAGGCGGGUCUCUAGGCCGAUACUGACGCUGAGGAGCGAAAGCGUGGGGAGCGAACAGGAUUAGAUACCCUGGUAGUCCACGCCGUAAACGGUGGGCGCUAGGUGUGGGGGCCAUUCCACGGACUCUGUGCCGCAGCUAACGCAUUAAGCGCCCCGCCUGGGGAGUACGGCCGCAAGGCUAAAACUCAAAGGAAUUGACGG
rnacentral:rRNA from 1 species